GGAGGCGUACCAAAGCGGUCGUACUGGGGUGGUCUUGAAAACCAUUUGACGGCAACGUCACGGGAGUUCGAAUCUCUCCGCCUCCGCCA
rnacentral:tRNA from 1 species